UCGUGCUAGACGGGGAGGUAGCGGCGCCCUGUAACCCGCAAUCCGCUCUAGCGGGGUUGAAUUCCUCAUUUGAGGCAUCGUAAUUGUUUGGUCUGCCCUCGACAAGUGGUGUUGAAGGUUGGGUCUUGCGCAAUGGGAACCUGUGAACCAUGUCAGGUCCGGAAGGAAGCAGCAUUAAUC
rnacentral:SRP_RNA from 1 species